UAUAGCCUACACACAUCCAGACCAGGUGGACACCCAUUUCAAAAUGAUAGCAGUUCUGGUAUAAUGUAAAUGUGCGACUUAACGCAUGAUUCGUACCUGAACGUCACUUUACCCGGUGGAAUCAUAUAGGAACACGUCUAAACCUCGGUGUCAAUGCAGUAUGAGGUUUAAACGGCUCGACGUGACCAUAUUUCUGAGGAUACAUGAAACAAAAAGAAGUUCUCGUGUUGCAUCAUUGUGAGAAGUUGUACUAACUUAUACUCAACGUCGGCAAUCACCCAUUUAAAUUUACCAUUUUAAUUACUAAUUUCUAGUUGCAUUCGUGAUUUAUUCUCUGUUUAAACAGAGAUAGUAAAGUAAAAGGUGAAAUUGAAAAGAAUUAAAUAGUUCCUUCAGCAUUACGUUACAGGACUGGUGUAGAAGUGCGUUUUUAUAUGUUGCACAAGCGCUUAUUAAGCAAAUCGAGUUUGGGCUUCUCUUUGUGACCUUCCGACUAUUACGACCUUCGUAGCCCAAUCCGUGUGCCACGUAAAAACGUAGUCCUGGAGCUGAGUUCCCUCGGAUGCAUUCACGACAGACGGACGUGAAGGAAGUAGAGUGCAAAUGGCGGCAAUAGCGAUAGAAGCAGAAGUAUAUAAAUCGUUGUGCCGACCAAUUUCGAACUGCAGAGAUCGGGAUUGCUGCGGACUUCACGGAAUGGAGGACCUAAAAUAAGCACUGCUACCUGAACCUGCCUGUAUUUAGCAGAAGGCUAUUCAUCUUCGUUUUUUGACUACACCUUAGCAAGUGAGCCACUCACAGAUCGAUACCGGAUCAGCUCUGGAAUGGUCGGUACAUCGUUAUCAUUGUCUGCAGCCCAUAUGAGAUACGCGUUACUCAAAAUGAG